UCUGCCCUCCUCUCCCUCUCCUGUCUGCCGCCCUCCUCCAGCAGCCAUCGGGCUAUCCUCUCCUCCUCCCAUUGCCCUGUCACACUGUACCACGUUCCUCAGACAAAAAGCCUCUUCCUCUGCUUAGAGCCCUCGGCAUGGCAUGCCAUUCCCUGGACUUGGAAAUCUGUUCCUUGAGUCUCUGCCAGCUUUAAUGCUCCUCUGUCCCCCAAGGCUCGGCGCAGACUUCACUUCCGCACAGAUGUCUGCCCACUCUCUGUAAAGAAUGACCAGCUUGGGCCUGCUGCUUGGAAGGCUUGGGGCUGAUGCUUCUUCCCGGAUGCUCUGAGCAGGUGCCCCAGAGGGAGAACACAGCCAGCAUCUCCCGAGAUUUGCACCAUGUUGGAACUUAGUGCACUGGAAAAAACCCGUUGGCCUCCUCCCAGGCUUACCUGCUGGAGAAAGAGAAGCACAUGGGGCAGGGACAUGCCACCCCAGGCAAAGCCCACUGGUGUCAGCCAGACCUGGAAGGACUUCCAGCUCUCCUUGAAGAAGAGCUGUCACCUGAUCUGCCCAGACUCCAGAGCUAAAUAAAUGUUUGCUGUUCUCAGCUGCUCCAUUCUGAGAUGUUUUGUUAU